rnacentral:rRNA from 1 species
UGGGGAAUAUUGGACAAUGGGCGCAAGCCUGAUCCAGCAAUGCCGCGUGUGUGAAGAAGGCCUGCGGGUUGUAAAGCACUUUCAGUGGGGAAGAACAGGCCUGGGCUAAUACCCCAGGUGUCUGACGUUACCCACAGAAGAAGCACCGGCUAACUCCGUGCCAGCAGCCGCGGUAAUACGGAGGGUGCAAGCGUUAAUCGGAAUCACUGGGCGUAAAGCGCACGUAGGCGGCACGUUAAGUCAGAUGUGAAACCCCUGGGCUCAACCUGGGAAUGGCAUUUGAUACUGACGCGCUCGAGUCUGAGAGAGGGAGGUGGAAUUCCAGGUGUAGCGGUGAAAUGCGUAGAUAUCUGGAGGAACACCGGUGGCGAAGGCGGCCUCCUGGCUCAUGACUGACGCUGAGGUGCGAAAGCGUGGGGAGCAAACAGG